AUUGAACGCUGGCGGCAGGCCUAACACAUGCAAGUCGAGCGAGCGGCGGACGGGUGAGUAAUGUAUGGGGACUGCCCGAUAGAGGGGGAUAACUACUGGAAACGGUGGCUAAUACCGCAUACUAUCGGAUAACCCAUAUGGGAUUAGCUAGUAGGUGGGGUAAAGGCUCACCUAGGCGACGAUCUCUAGCUGGUCUGAGAGGAUGAUAGGCCACACUGGGCAGGAGAAACGGCCCAGCCUCCGACGGAGGCAGCAGGGGGGAAUAUUGCAAAAUGGGCUAAAGCCUGAUUCAGCCAUGCCGCGUGUAUGAAGAAGGCCUUAGGGUUGUAAAGUACUUUCAGCGGGGAGGCGUUACCCGCAGAAGAAUCACCGGCUAACUCCGUGCCAGCAGCCGCGGUAAUAC
rnacentral:rRNA from 1 species